CGAACGCACUCUUCGGAGUGAGUGGCAGACGGGUGAGUAACGCGUGGGAACAUGCCCAUCAGUACGGAAUAGCUCCGGGAAACUGGAAUUAAUACCGUAUACGUCCUUCGGGAGAAAGAUUUAUCGCUGAUGGAUUGGCCCGCGUUAGAUUAGCUAGUUGGUGAGGUAAAAGCUCACCAAGGCGACGAUCUAUAGCUGGUCUGAGAGGAUGAUCAGCCACACUGGGACUGAGACACGGCCCAGACUCCUACGGGAGGCAGCAGUGGGGAAUCUUGGACAAUGGGGGAAACCCUGAUCCAGCCAUGCCGCGUGAAUGAUGAAGGCCUUAGGGUUGUAAAAUUCUUUCAGCAGGGAAGAUAAUGACGGUACCUGCAGAAGAAGCCCCGGCUAACUCCGUGCCAGCAGCCGCGGUAAUACGGAGGGGGCUAGCGUUGUUCGGAAUUACUGGGCGUAAAGCGCACGUAGGCGGCUAGGAAAGUCAGAGGUGAAAGCCCAGGGCUCAACCCUGGAAUUGCCUUUGAAACUAUCUAGCUAGAGUUCGGGAGAGGUGAGUGGAAUUCCGAGUGUAGAGGUGAAAUUCGUAGAUAUUCGGAGGAACACCAGAGGCGAAGGCGACUCACUGGACCGAUACUGACGCUGAGGU
rnacentral:rRNA from 1 species